CCAUUUCCUUUACUCCUAAGUGGGCGUGCGAAGGAUUCCCAGUGUGUGUGUGUGUGUGUGUUAAAGAGGGCAGUUCAUGGAUUCCGCAAGUCUUAGAAGCGCCGGCUAUCACUACACUCCAGGCAAGGUUUUAGUCAUGAGGUAAAGAUGCAAAAGCAAAGUAGGAAGGAAAAUCAACAGAACGGACAGAAAUUCCAGUCAUGGCCUCUCAGCUUAGGUUUUAAAAAGUGAGACAUUAAUAUUGACUUAUGGGGGUGUAUGCAUGCCUGACCGAGUUUCUGUGCAAAAUUGUCUGCAGGUGACCACGGAGGCUUGAAAGCACCAGGCCGUCCCCCGGAACUGGGUUACCAGUGAUUGUGAGUGCUGGGAACUGAACCUGGGUUCCCUGCAACAGCAGUAAGCGCCUUUAACUGCUGAGCGAUCCCUCCAGCACCCAUACCGUAUUUUAGAUUAUAAAUACCGAUCAGAAAAAGUAUUAACAGUAAAGAAAGGUUUGUUAUAUGGGACUGUAAUGUGGCCAAAGAAGAAGGUUCUCAAGGAAAAGAUGGCUUUCUAGGAAGGAGGUGACACAGAUGAAAUGAACAUGCAGAUAGAUAAACUUCAGGAAUUGCCAUCAGUCAGAAGGCCCAGCCAUUCCAAAGGCCAUGAAACAAAAUAUCAGGGAAGCCUGGGGGCUCAGAAUUGAGAGAAGGAAUCAAAGAUGGAAGGCAGUCAGAGAGCCGGCAGGCUAAAUACCGGGUGAGGUAGGGGAGGGAAAGCCACUAGAAGGAUUUUAAUAGCCAAGUGAUGUUAUCCAAUUUCUUGAGUCAGUAGACUGAGGACAGAAGUAAUUAAGGUAAUCAGAAGGCUUUUGUUUUCUUGAAGGAAACAUAAUAGUGACUUCAAGACAGGUACUAAGAUGUGUCCAGUCAUUUUCUUGGGGUACACAGUGAACAUACACAAAGGAACUAUGAAUGACGGUUUAUUUUCACUAAGUAGGCUUUGGGAAACACAUUAAAUGACUUCUGUAACUUUUAGAAUGAUGAACGUAAGAUUGUGGUUUUGCCAUUUGAAACUUGAAUGAGUCUAGACAAGACACGUGAUUUCUCCAAGUCUAUAAAGUAACGAUGACAUCUUACAAGAACCUGGUGCCAGAGUAAUUGGUGGUUAAAAGAAGUCACAAGUAACUUGGAUGAAGUAGGAAUUUCAACUAAGGAGAUACUGAGGUGAUGAAAAAUACAGCAAAGAUAGGAAUCUCUAAAAGUCAUAGCUUAUGUUGUGUUUUACUCUUUCAUGUGUGCUCUAAAAUCAUGUACUUGAUAUUGUGUGUAAGGAGCUUCAUAUGUUAAUGGCUCUCUGUGUUUCAUGAAAUUAUGAUUACAAGUUAGGACACAAUUAAUGUCAUGAAACAAUUUCUAUAAUGCCUUUUCAAUUUUUUAUUAUUAGUAAAGAAAGCAGGUUUUUGUUUUCAUCAGUAAAGUACAAAAAUAUAUUGGAUGUAUUGCCUUCUCUGCCCUUUUUUUCUUUCUCCAUCAAGUUCUUAUGUGUGCAUGUAUGUACAUACAGAUAAGUAUUAAAUCUAUUUUAAUCUCAUAUUUUUAGCAAAUUGCUACAGGGAAUAAGGAAGUGUCUCUCAAACCAUCUAGACAAUACAAGUUCCAGUAAAUGCUAGUGGAUGCUGUUCCCUUCAGAUUCCAUCAUUAACCACAUUGGAAAAUGCUUGAUAAUUAUGUUUGGAGAUAAUGCAGCAUGCUCAUUAAAAGCGUUAGCUCCAGCAUCAGACAGACUGGGGUUUCAAUCCUCAUUUACUAAAUAACUAUACUACCUGGGCAAAUUAAUUUUAAUUCUAGUUGUCUUCUGUGUUUAAUGGGGAUGCAGUAUUCAUCAAUGAUCCUUGUACUUAGCCAGCAAGUACUAAAUAUUCCAUAGGUAUCACAUGUUAUUCCUAUUAUCUGUGAGAAAUGUUGUGCAUAUUAGCAUAUUAAAAGCUCCAGCCGGUCAUUAGUGGCUCACUCCUUUAAUCCCAGCACUUGGGAGGCAGAGGCAGUCAGAUCUCUGAGUUCGAGGCCAUCCUGGUCUACUGAGGGAGUGCCAGGAUAGGUUCCAAAGCUACAAAGAGAAACCUUGUCUCAAAAAACAAACAAACAGACAAAUAAAUAAAUAAAUUUAAGAAAGCUCUAAACACACUAAAAGACUUUUAAAACAUCUAUACCAAACUGACCAACAGUGUUCAGGCAACAGGUGAAGAAAAGGCCCGGUGUAGGGGAAAGGAUCCUAAUAUAAAUUAACAAAGUGAAGCAGGGAGCUGUUGGAUACAUAGUCUGUUGAGUGUUUUUCACUUCAGGUUUGUUGACUGUAACCACUUUUUCUAAGAAUUGUAUUUUUUCCUCAGUGCUGCAAAUUGCUAGUAAACACUAACAAAAACUUAGGUAUCUGUUACUAUGACAAAACAUUGACCAAAAACAACUUGGGCAAAAACGAGUUUUGUUUCUGCUUACCCUUUCAGGUAUUGGUGAAGUCAGGCUGGCCCUCAAGGCAGGAACGUGAGGCAGAAACCAGGGAGGACUAGUGCAUCAAGCUAGUUCUCCUGCUCUUCAUUCAUUGAGCUGGUUUUCUUAGUAGCUCAGGACCACCUGCCCCCUCACAAGGAGUUCAGGCUGCAGUCUAGUCUGUGUGAUUCUGUCUAGUUUCCUUUCUCCAGUAGUUUGCUCAGUAAGUUCAGAUCUUUAUAAGCUCCACAGUCAUAUGGCAAUUCCUGUUUGGAGAUUAAGUAUGCAAAGGUUUUCAAGUGGCUUCAAUGUAUUUAUUACUAAGGCCAGGACAACUCAGAGAAGUUAA